rnacentral:rRNA from 1 species
CCUACGGGGGGCAGCAGUCGAGAAUCAUUCACAAUGGGGGAAACCCUGAUGGUGCGACGCCGCGUGGGGGAAUGAAGGUCUUCGGAUUGUAAACUCCUGUCAUGUGGGAGCAAAUUAAAAAGAUAGUACCACAAGAGGAAGAGACGGCUAACUCUGUGCCAGCAGCCGCGGUAAUACAGAGGUCGCAAGCGUUGUUCGGAAUCACUGGGCGUAAGGCGUGCGUAGGCGGUUUCGUAAGUCGUGUGUGAAAGGCGCGGGCUCAACUCGCGGACGGCACCUGAUACUGGGAGACUAGAGUAAUAGAGGGGGGACCAGAAUUCUCGGUGUAGCAGUGAAAUGCGUAGAUA